GCUCCACCCCCGCGGGGGCGGCAUCUGCCCCGGGCGCGGUGCGAGCGGGACGGCGCAGAGCGAGCGGAGGGCGAGAGGCGCCGGGACCGGAGCGCUUCACGGGGCGGGCCUAGCCGUGGAGCUCGGGCCAUGGAGCUCGAGCGCUCCACGGGGCGGGCCUAGCCGUCCCCGCGCCCCCUCGACCGCCCCCUGAGCUGCGCCGCCGAGGUGGCAAGGGACCAAGCACCCAGGCGGUGUUCCACUGUCUUCUUUGGUGCAUUAGCAGGAAGCUGGAUGGGAAGCGGAGCAGUCUGGGUUCAAAACAGCAUUGUCAUCCGAAAUGCCAGUGAGAGAACAGGAUGGACGGGGAUGCUGUGACACCUGCGAACCACGUGGGAGUGCCUGGGUUUGAGUUCCAGCUACUCUGCUACUGAUCCAGCUUCCUGCUAAUGCACAUCCUGGGAGGCAGAAGACGAUGGCUGAAGUGCUUGGGCCUCUGCUGCCACCCACGCAGGAGACUAGGAUGGAGUUCCAGGCUCCUGACUUCAGUGCCUGGAAGACUGGAAGAUUCUCCCUCUCUCUGCCAUUAAAAGUAAAGUCCAGUGUCAACAGUGUCAUAACCGAGGAAAUGCCCUUGGAACCCUAAGGGCAGCAGAUCAGAUAGGUGCAGAGCUGACCCAGUGUCAUUUCUGCCAGCCCUGAAGCUGAACACAACCCAGUGAACAGGGGGCAGGUGUUGCCAAGAACCGUAAGCUGCUAGGAAGACUCUCCCUGGCCAAGUUCCAAGGAAUAGGCUCUGAGGCCUCUGCUGGCUGGCCUGUGCUCUCC